rnacentral:rRNA from 1 species
CCUACGGGAGGCAGCAGUGGGGAAUAUUGCACAAUGGGCGAAAGCCUGAUGCAGCGACGCCGCGUGAGGGAUGACGGCCUUCGGGUUGUAAACCUCUUUCAGCAGGGAAGAAGCGAAAGUGACGGUACCUGCAGAAGAAGCGCCGGCUAACUACGUGCCAGCAGCCGCGGUAAUACGUAGGGCGCAAGCGUUGUCCGGAAUUAUUGGGCGUAAAGAGCUCGUAGGCGGCUUGUCACGUCGGUUGUGAAAGCCCGGGGCUUAACCCCGGGUCUGCAGUCGAUACGGGCAGGCUAGAGUGUGGUAGGGGAGAUCGGAAUUCCUGGUGUAGCGGUGAAAUGCGCAGAUAUCAGGAGGAACACCGGUGGCGAAGGCGGAUCUCUGGGCCAUUACUGACGCUGAGGAGCGAAAGCGUGGGGAGCGAACAGGAUUAGAUACCCUGGUAGUCCACGCCGUAAACGGUGGGAACUAGGUGUUGGCGACAUUCCACGUCGUCGGUGCCGCAGCUAACGCAUUAAGUUCCCCGCCUGGGGAGUACGGCCGCAAGGCUAAAACGUUAAAUGAAUUGACGG